rnacentral:rRNA from 1 species
UCGAGUGAUAACAGCGAGAGGGCAACACCCGUUCCCAUUCCGAAUACGGUAGUUAAGCCUCUCAGCGCCGAUGGUACUGUGCUGGUAACGGUAUGGGAGAGUAGGUCGUUGCUCGAG